CUGACAGAAGAGAGUGAGCACACACGGUGCUUUCUUAGCAUGCAAGAGCCAUGCUGGGAGCUGUGCGUGCUCACUCUCUAUCUGUCAG
rfam:Oryza sativa Japonica Group DNA, chromosome 1, cultivar: Nipponbare, complete sequence.